CGCGUACCAGAGGAGUUAGAGCGCGUGAAAUACACGCGCCUACGCGUUCCACGCGCUCCAGUGAUGUUCUGGCGCGUGAAUAACACGCGCCUACGCGCUGUUAGUCGCGCCACGUGCUGCACGCGCGACAGUGUUCCUGUUUUGGUUCUUUUGCUCAUUCCUUGUGCUAUCUGAGUCCGAUUUUGACAAAACAAGACUCGUUUCCAACAAAAUCAAGCGUUCCGGACACAACGGUGCUGUCCGUUUUACGAUAUUCCAUUUCAA